UAGUCCACGCCGUAAACGAUGUCAACUAGCCGUUGGAUUCCUUGAGGAUUUAGUGGCGCAGCUAACGCAAUAAGUUGACCGCCUGGGGAGUACGGCCGCAAGGUUAAAACUCAAAUGAAUUGACGGGGGCCCGCACAAGCGGUGGAGCAUGUGGUUUAAUUCGACGCAACGCGAAGAACCUUACCAGGUCUUGACAUCCUGCGAACUUUCUAGAGAUAGAUUGGUGCCUUCGGGAACGCAGUGACAGGUGCUGCAUGGCUGUCGUCAGCUCGUGUCGUGAGAUGUUGGGUUAAGUCCCGUAACGAGCGCAACCCCUAUCGUAUGUUGCCAGCAUUCAGUUGGGCACUCAUGCGAGACUGCCGGUGUUAAGCCGGAGGAAGGUGGGGACGACGUCAAGUCAUCAUGGCCCUUACGUGUAGGGCUACACACGUGCUACAAUGGCGGGUACAGAGGGUCGCGAAGCCGCGAGGUGGAGCCAAUCUCAUAAAGCCCGUCCCAGUUCGG
rnacentral:rRNA from 1 species